rnacentral:rRNA from 1 species
AAGAAGGAGGGAGGACUCGGCUUCAGGGAUCUGCAUACGUUUAACAUAGCAAUGUUAGCUCGUCAGGGUUGGCGAUUGCUGCAGGAACCAAAUACUCUCUGUGCUCGGGUACUGAAGGCGCGCUACUUUCCGAAUUGUUCUGUUCUUGAAGCAGAAAUUACAAGGGAUAUGUCAUACACAUGGCGUAGCAUCCUGAAAGGCAUUGAGCUCUUGAAACAAGGCUUAGUAUGGAGGAUCGGUACGGGAGAAAAUGUACGCAUAUGGGAGGAUCCAUGGAUCCCCAGGGGCACUUCUAGGAGACCCCAAACGAGCCGUGGAAAUGUUCUGGUAGACAAGGUCAGUGACCUCAUGGACUCUGCAACAGAAACUUGGGACAAGGAGCUCGUCACUGAUCUAUUUUGUGCAGAGGAUGCAAAGCAGAUUCUAGCGAUCCCGGUUAAGUCUGGGAUGGAUGAUCUUCCAGCAUGGCACUAUGAGCCUAAAGGAAUUUUUACAGUGAAAUCUGCGUAUCAUUUGGCGAUCAGGUUGAGGGAGGAAAUCCAUCACAGAGAUGCUAGUUCGUCUAUGCCUGUGCCAUUUGUCUCGCAGAGAUGGAAUAGAUUCUGGAGCCUGAACCUUCCACCUAAAGUUAGAAUGUUCCUUUGGCGGCUAGCGAAGAAUUCUCUUCCACUGCGUAUGAACAUAAAGAGGAAACAUGUUGAUCUUGACACAAAAUGUCCUGUGUGUAUGAGACUAGAUGAGGAUGGUGGCCACCUGUUCCUAAAAUGCAAGAAGGUCAAGCAAGUUUGGAGAGAAUUAUAG